GGAAAUAGACAGUACACGGAUCUGGAAUGGAAGCAAAUAAUAACCGGGUCUCCAGAUUCCAUCGUAUCACAGAACAUAGAACCAAGAAAGUACCUUAGAAGUCAUCUGAUCCAGUCACCCCUGUUUUACCAAUGAGGAAUCUAGACCCAGAAGAAGUUAAAGGACUUACCCAAGAGUACCCAACAACUCUCUCACCACCCCAGGCUCCCAUCUUUGUGUCUCUCCUGUGUGAGCUGUUCCCUGAAGUUCUUCCUGAACUUGCACAUUGCCUUUCCCUUUGAUUUUAAAUCCUUGGCUCAAAUGACAUGCCCGGACUAUAUCGUGUGAUAUGAGCUUGAAAAGUAAUUUACGUACAAGUCUUGAAAGCAAAUCAAGUUUUAAAACAAAGUAGCAUCUACUCUGCCCCAGCCUUGACAUCUUAUUACAUAGCAAAUGCUGGCUUUUUAAUUUCCCUAAUCAAGACUGGUCCUAUUUAGCCCACCUCCUCAAGGGGUCCCAGCACUAGCCCCACUCCGACGCCUGAUGAAGUUCCAGAACAGGUGAGAAAAAUGAGAGGGCCCUGCCCAGGGCUCUGGGAGUCGGCCCUCACUGCCUGCCCUUCAGACAGCAAGACAGAAAAGGCAUUCAUUUUCUUCCUCCACGUCAUGAUACCAACCGAAAUUACCUUUAAAUGAGGAAGAAGGUCAUUAUUUAAUCAAUAGGAUUGCGUCAAUUGAGGAAAAUUUGUCUCCAGUGUAAACAAGCGGAACGUCUUUGCGCUCUAUAAAAACAAGGUUAAAUUACUUGCAGAUCCGGGCAACGUGGAGAGAUGUAGGAAGUGAACCUGAAGCCUGACACACUCAAGGUCUCGGAACCGAAAAUAAUAGGAAUUGUUCUUAUUUUUCCAGUGGAAUCAAGCACAGAGAUGGGCACGCCUCUUUACAGAACCAAAGAUUCAGAACUGUGCCUUACCCUUUGCUUAUGAGGCGGAGGAGGAGGAAGAGAAAGAACCACCGCAAAGAGAGAUGGCAACAAAGGACAAAAUGCUUGGAGGAGCAACAGACACCCUGAGACCAUGAAGACAGGACGAAGUCACACACUAAGAUCUGAGGCCCAGGGUCACCACAAACCCGGGAGACAUGAGGCCAGGCCUGAGAGGCACAGGCAGGCUGAGGAAUGGACAGAAGAGCAACAGAGAAGCCUGGAGGAUGAAAGCCAACUCUGCAAAGAGCUUCCAAGAGUCUUCCUGCCACAGAAAUUCCACUUGGCCACAGAAAUGGCCCUGGCCCUGGGCCAGGAGAGAGGUGGCGACGAGCUGCUCAUGGCAAUGACUUUCAGUCAGCAUGUCUUACCUGUGCUUCCAAGGGUGGAGAUGCCACUUUGAACUCGCCCUCCCCCACUUGCCAUUUCCCAAGCUCAUCCCGGGGAGACCAGACUCAAUGGCCCACUGGUGAUCUUGUUUUACAUGAGACAUUUCCAAAAAAGACCAAAAAAUCCUUUCCAGGAAAAUGCCAUUUUUAAAAUUCAGCUCCAGACACUGCGGCAACAUUAGGAAAACAAAGGACUUGGCAGAAAGGUUUUCUGCGUGGGGACUUUCUCUCGAAAAUACCUUCUCCAAAUUGCCUCCAGUGGGGAUGACUCCAAGGGUCAGUUCUGGAGCACCCAGGCAAUUGCAGACAGAGUGACUUCGGGUUUGUACACUGUCCCAGGUCUUUCCUUACCUGAUAUCACCCUGGGAUCUUCCAGGCUUAAACAAGGAGCCCCUUCCAAGGGUCCCCAAAGGAAGCAGCUGUCUCUGAGGGUCAAGAAAUAAUGCUGCUUCCUUCCUCCAGAGGGGACUCCUCAACCCCUCUCUUGCCACCAUCACUAAGCCAGGGGCCCAGGUUAGGAGGUGGAGGGACAUAGUGUGCUUAGUAGAGAGCUUGUCUUCUCUUAUCAUCCAAGUGAGAGGAAUACACAGCUUCCCCUGGGGCAUACAUAGUGGUGUUCCCCUUUUUUGCAUGUAUCAGGUAUAAUUAAUCAGGUUGACAUCACAUAUGUAAUAAUAAUGGCCAUUAUUUAUUAAACACUUCCAAUGUGUCCACGAGU
ensembl:lncRNA LINC01913 long intergenic non-protein coding RNA 1913